AGAGUUUGAUCCUGGCUCAGGAUGAACGCUGGCGGUAUGCCUAACACGUGCAAGUCGUACGAGAGUUUUUAACUCUAGUGGCGGACGGGUGAGUAACACGUGAGAAUUUGCCUUUAGGAGGGGGACAACAAUUGGAAACGAAUGCUAAUACCCCAUAUGCUUUCGAGUAAAAUGGAUUUUAUCUGCCUAAAGAGAAGCUCGCGGCUGAUUAGCUUGUUGGUAAGGUAAAAGCUUACCAAGGCGACGAUCAGUAUCUGGUUUGAGAGGACGAUCAGACACACUGGAACUGAGACACGGUCCAGACUCCUACGGGAGGCAGCAGUGGGGAAUUUUCCGCAAUGGGCGAAAGCCUGACGGAGCAAUACCGCGUGAGGGAAGACUGCCUAUGGGUUGUAAACCUCUUUUUUUCAGGGAGGAAUAAAAUGACGUGUACCUGAAGAAUAAGCAUCGGCUAACUCCGUGCCAGCAGCCGCGGUAAGACGGAGGAUACAAGUGUUAUCCGGAAUCACUGGGCGUAAAGCGUCUGUAGGUGGUUUAAUAAGUCAACUGUUAAAUCUUGAGGCUCAACUUCAAAAUCGCAGUCGAAACUAUUAGACUAGAGUAUAGUAGAGGUAAAGGGAAUUUCCAGUGUAGCGGUGAAAUGCGUAGA
rnacentral:rRNA from 1 species